rnacentral:tRNA from 1 species
GCCCUGGUGGCUCAGUGGUUAGGAGCUUGGCUGCUAACCAAGAAGUCUGCAGUUCAAAUCUACCAGUGGCU